ensembl:ncRNA lncRNA:CR43853 long non-coding RNA:CR43853
AGCUUAUCAUACAUCUAUCUUAUAUAACACAUAUAACAUAUGCAGUGUGGCUGAAAUUAUGCCUGCGUGUGGCCCAGUAUACUCCAGCUCCCCACCUCUCACAUCGCUCCAAAAGAAUGUCCUACGUCCUGCGAGGACGUGACCCAAGCGAAAAGCAGACGACCACAGAAUCGGAAGAGGGACUAGUGCAAAAGAUGGGUGCCGAGUGACGCUGAGCUGUUGGUUUGGGUAGACGGCGCGUUGCUUUCAAUUUGCGCAUUUUGGCAUUUUUAAAAAUGCAUUAAAGGAGCAGCACCACCAGCAUCAAGGAGCACAAAUAACGUGCCCAAAAAGAUCUGCAGACAGACACAGAAAAAGUUGCGAUGAAAGCGCGAAAAUUACUUCCUAAAUAGCCGCCUGACUGCCUGCCAAGACUACUCGACAAGCGGCGGCUUCCACGAGCGGCAAAUGCUGAAGAAAAUGGCCUCCAAGCCGAAACGACGACGACGACGACGACGACCAUGUCCUGGGCUCAAUAAAAGAGACACAGGCACACAAGCGCACAUACAUAGGUCCAUACCUAUGCAAAAGGGCAGGAGUUAGGAGCAAGGAGCGAGGAGCAGGAAAGGGUCACAGACGACGGGUUCGGAGAGUCGAAUUCAAAUUGCAAAUUCGCCGCAGAUUUUUUAUGCACUUUUCCCUAGCCAAAAUUAAGCCAGGCGAACGCUGCGCUCCGGAACGAUUUCCAGACGGGUACUAAGACCAGGAACAGGACUACGGCCUGGACUGGGCGGAAUCGGGAUGAGGUCGAGGCCCAGGACGAGAGUAAGAGGACGACAUUGCUGACGUUUUGACAGCGAAAUAAAAAAAAAGGAAAUAGACUGCAACUGGAAUGGUAAUAGGGGGGGCGGGAGUUUGAGGAAAGGAGGCCCGACUGAAUGCAAAUAUUAUCGUAUCUACAUGGAAAGAUGGAGCUCCAGGGGAAUAUCGAGGUAAUCGCAGAGACUG